GAUGAACGCUGGCGGCGUGCCUAAUACAUGCAAGUCGAGCGAACAGACGCGGAGCUUGCUCCUCUGACGUUAGCGGCGGACGGGGGAGUAACACGUGGAUAACCUACCUAUAUGACUGGGAUAACUUCGGGAAACAGGAGCUAAUACCGGACAAUAUAUUGAUCCGCAUGGUUCAAUAGUGAAAGACGGUUUUGCUGUCACUUAUAGAUGGAUCCGCGCCGCAUUAGCUAGUGGGUAAGGUAACGGCUUACCAAGGCAACGAUUCGUAGCCGACCUGAGAGGCUGAUCGCCCACACUGGAACUGCGCCACGGUCAAGACUCCUACGGGAGGCAGCAGUAGGGAAUCUUCCGCAAUGGGCGAAAACCUGACGGAGCAACGCCGAGUGAGUUGUGAAAGUCUUCUGAGCGUAAAACUCUGUUAUUAGUGAAGAACAAAUGUGUAAUUAACUAUGCACGUCUUGACGGUACCGAAUCAGAAAGCCACGGCUAACUACGUG
rnacentral:rRNA from 1 species